AUGACUCCCAUGUGGCUCUUCCUCUUCCUGCUGUCAGUUCCCAGAUGUGUCCUGUCCCAGGUGCAGCUGCAGGAGUCAGGCCCAGGACUGGUGAAGCCCUCACAGACCCUCUCCCUCACCUGCUCUGUCUCUGGUUAUUCCAUCACCAGUAAUUACUAUUGGAGCUGGAUCCGCCAGCCACCAGGAAAAGGGCUGGAGUGGAUUGGGUACAUACACUAUAAUGGAGACUCUGACUACAGCCCCUCCCUCAAGAGCCCAACCUGCAUCUCCAGAGACACGUCCAAGAACCAGUUCUCCCUGCACCUGAGCUCCGUGACCACCGAGGACACAGCCAUGUAUUACUGUGCAAGAGACCUGGUGCAACAGCAGCUGGUGUUCUUGGACCCCGGGGACAUUGUGGCCUGGACCCCUGCGCCCUCCCCCUCUGGCCUGCUGCUGGACGCCUGCCUGGCG